rnacentral:rRNA from 1 species
UGGGGAAUAUUGGGCAAUGGGCGCAAGCCUGACCCAGCGACGCCGCGUGAGGGAAGAAGGUCUUCGGAUUGUAAACCUCUUUUCAGCAGGGAAGACCAAGAGACGGUACCUGCAGAAGAAGUCACGGCUAACUACGUGCCAGCAGCCGCGGUAAUACGUAGGUGGCGAGCGUUAUCCGGAAUUACUGGGUGUAAAGGGUGUGUAGGCGGAGAGGCAAGUCAGGCGUGAAAUACGUGGGCUCAACCCACGAACUGCGCUUGAAACUGUUUCCCUUGAGAGUGGGAGAGGUAAACGGAAUUCCUGGUGUAGUAGUGAAAUGCGUAGAUAUCAGGAGGAACACCGGUGGCGAAGGCGGUUUACUGGACCACAACUGACGCUGAGACACGAAAGCGUGGGGAGC